rnacentral:rRNA from 1 species
UACGGAGGGUGCAAGCGUUAUCCGGAUUCACUGGGUUUAAAGGGUGCGUAGGUGGGUUGGUAAGUCAGUGGUGAAAUCCCCGAGCUUAACUUGGGAACUGCCAUUGAUACUAUCAGUCUUGAAUACCGUGGAGGUCGGCGGAAUAUGUCAUGUAGCGGUGAAAUGCUUAGAUAUGACAUAGAACACCCAUUGCGAAGGCAGCUAACUACGCGAUAAUUGACGCUGAUGCACGAAAGCGUGGGGAUCAAACAGG